rnacentral:ncRNA from 10 species
GCGCUGCCACAACGGCUUCCUGGCGUGGCGGUCUGACAGUCAAUGGAGCA